ACGAACGCUGGCGGCGUGCUUAACACAUGCAAGUCGAACGGAAAGGCCCUGCUUUUGUGGGGUGCUCGAGUGGCGACCGGGUGAGUAACACGUGAGUAACCUGCCCUUGACUUUGGGAUAACUUCAGGAAACUGGGGCUAAUACCGGAUAGGAGCUCCUGCUGCCUGGUGGGGGUUGGAAAGUUUCGGCGGUUGGGGAUGGACUCGCGGCUUAUCAGCUUGUUGGUGGGGUAGUGGCUUACCAAGGCUUUGACGGGUAGCCGGCCUGAGAGGGUGACCGGCCACAUUGGGACUGAGAUACGGCCCAGACUCCUACGGGAGGCAGCAGUGGGGAAUAUUGCACAAUGGGCGGAAGCCUGAUGCAGCAACGCCGCGUGCGGGAUGACGGCCUUCGGGUUGUAAACCGCUUUCGCCUGUGACGAAGCGUGAGUGACGGUAAUGGGUAAAGAAGCACCGGCUAACUACGUG
rnacentral:rRNA from 1 species